rnacentral:rRNA from 1 species
UGCCAGCCGCCGCGGUAAUACGAAGGGACCUAGCGUAGUUCGGAAUUACUGGGCGUAAAGGGCGCGUAGGCGGCCCUAUCAGUCAGGCGUGAAAGCCCCGGGCUCAACCUGGGAUGUGCGUUUGAUACUGUAGGGCUAGAGACCGGAAGAGGAUGGCGGAAUAUCCAGUGUAGAGGUGAAAUUCGUAGAUAUUGGAUGGAACACCAGUGGCGAAGGCGGCCAUCUGGUCCGGGUCUGACACUGAGGCGCGAAAGCGUGGGGAGCAAACAGGAUUAGAUA